rnacentral:rRNA from 1 species
GACGAACGCUGGCGGCGUGCUUAACACAUGCAAGUCGAACGGUGAUGCUCCAGCUUGCUGGAGUGGAUCAGUGGCGAACGGGUGAGUAACACGUGAGCAACCUGCCCCAGACUCUGGAAUAAGCGCUGGAAACGGCGUCUAAUACUGGAUACGAAACUGGCCCGCAUGGGCAUGGUUUGGAAAGUUUUUCGGUUUGGGAUGGGCUCGCGGCCUAUCAGCUUGUUGGUGAGGUAAUGGCUCACCAAGGCGACGACGGGUAGCCGGCCUGAGAGGGCGACCGGCCACACUGGGACUGAGACACGGCCCAGACUCCUACGGGAGGCAGCAGUGGGGAAUAUUGCACAAUGGGCGAAAGCCUGAUGCAGCGACGCCGCGUGAGGGAUGACGGCCUUCGGGUUGUAAACCUCUUUCAGCAGGGAAGUAGCGAAAGUGACGGUACCUGCAGAAGAAGCACCGGCUAACUACGUG